rnacentral:rRNA from 1 species
UAAAUUAAAUUUGAGUAAAUAUUGGUAUUGCAUAUUAUUAAAGGAAAAUUUCAUUAUUAAUGAAUAAUAGAAACAAAAAGUAGAAAAGUAUUUAAUUUUAUUGUUUCAUAAUAAAAAAUAUUACUUUUAGAGUUGAUAUGUCGAUUUUUGUGAUAACUGUAUUAUUUUUUUAUAUUAGAAAAUUAUAUAUUUAAUUAAUUAUUAUUGGAAAAUUAAAAUUUGAAGUGUUUUUAAUUUUAAGUUUUACAACUUUUUCUAAGAAUAUAUUAUAUAUUUUUUUUGUAUUUAAUAAAAUUUUAUUAAAUAAAUAAUCUUUAAAUUAGUAAGUUUAUAAAUAUAGUAAAUUAAUAAAAUAUAAAUAAAGAACUUGAAGUCUAGAUCAAAUGUUUUUUAAAGACUUAGGCUUUUAAAUAAAGCUGGCUUCUGCCCUAUGAAUUUUAAAUGGCAGUCUUAGCGUGAGGACAUUAAGGUAGCAAAAUAAUUUGUGCUUUUAUUGAGUUCCAGUAUGAAUGAAGUUAUUGGUUAGUUCUAUUUAUUUUUUAUUACUGAAUUUAAUAUUUAUUUAAGAAAAAAUAAAUAUAUUUAUACAAAGAUAAGUCUUCGGAAAUUCUAUUAUUAAUAUUUCAUUUGUUAUAUUAAUAAAUUUUCUAGGGCAGAAUAUUAUAUAAUUGUAUUUCACUAUUUAUAAUAUAAAGAAUUACUCCGGAGUUAACAGAAAAUCAUACCUAAUCUAGUUCUUAUAGUAAGGUAAGUUUUACAUCGAUGUUGUAUUUAGGUAAUCUAAAAGAGGAGAAGAUUUAGGAAUUUCAGACUGUUCUUCUGUUAAGUAACCUAACGUGAUAUUAGUUUAAUUCAUUGUGAGAUAGAAUUGUUUAUCUUGAUAAAUAUUUAUCAUUAAGAUAUUUAGUACGAAAGGAACAUUAUAAAAGUUUAAAACUUUAAAAAGAUAUAAAAAUCUUU